ACACGUCUACAUUAGAUACCCCCUGUACGUCCCAGCCGUAAACUAUGCGCGUUAGGUGUAUCGGUGACCACGAGCCACCGAGGUGCCGAAGGGAAACCGUGAAACGUGCCGCCUGGGAAGUACGGUCGCAAGGCUGAAACUUAAAGGAAUUGGCGGGGAGCACCACAACGGGUGGAGCCUGCGGUUUAAUUGGACUCAACGCCGGGAAGCUCACCGGAUAAGACAGCGGAAUGAUUGCCGGGCUGAAGACUCUGCAUGACUAGCUG
rnacentral:rRNA from 1 species